CCGGCAAAUUGACACCGUAACUUCGGGAGAAGGUGUGCCGCUGGCGGUUAGUGACUUCGCGUCACGAAGCUGUUGGUGGUCGCAGUGAAAUGGCGGUUGUGACUGUUUACUAAAAACACAGGACUCUGCGAAGUCGUAAGACGACGUAUAGGGUCUGAUGCCUGCCCGGUGCUGGAAGGUUAAGGGGAUAUGUCAGAGCAGUCGAAGCAUUGAACCGAAGCCCCAGUAAACGGCGGCCGUAACUAUAACGGUCCUAAGGUAGCGAAAUUCCUUGUCGGGUAAGUUCCGACCUGCACGAGGGCAUAACAACAUCCGCACUGUCUCGACCAGGGACUCAGCGAAAUUACAUUGGGGGUGAAGAUGCCCUCUACCCGCGGAAAGACGGAAAGACCCCAUGAACCUUUACUGCAACUUGGCAGUGAUUUUCGGGUUGUUCUGCGUAGGAUAGGUGGGAGGCUUUGAAGUCGGGCUUCCGGGUUCGACGGAGCCAACGUUGAAAUACCACCCUGAAUAAUCUGGAAAUCUAACCUGCGCCCAUGAUCUGGGCGAGGGACACUGCCUGGUGGGCAGUUUGACUGGGGCGGUCGCCUCCUAAAUUGUAACGGAGGCGUGCGACGGUUCCCUCAGGCUGAUUGGAAACCAGCCGUAGAGUGCAAACGCAUAAGGGAGCUUUACUGCGAGACUGACAAGUCGAACAGUUGCGAAAGCAGGUGUUAGUGAUCCGGUGGUACCACAUGGAAGGGCCAUCGCUCAUCGGAUAAAAGGUACUCUGGGGAUAACAGGCUGAUCGCGCCUGAGAGUUCACAUCGGCGGCGCGGUUUGGCACCUCGAUGUCGGCUCAUCGCAUCCUGGGGCUGGAGCAGGUCCCAAGGGUUUGGCUGUUCGCCAAUUAAAGCGGUACGCGAGCUGGGUUUAAAACGUCGUGAGACAGUUUGGUCCCUAUCUUCCGUGGGCGCAGGACACUUGAGAGGAGCUAUCCAUAGUACGAGAGGACCUGGAUGGACGAACCUCUGGUGCUCCGGUUGUCACGCCAGUGGCAUAGCCGGGUAGCCAUGUUCGGAACAGAUAACCGCUGAAGGCAUAUAAGCGGGAAGCUGGCCUCAAGACUAGGUGUCCCUGACGCAAGUCACUAAAGGCCCCUCGAAGACUACGAGGUUGAUAGGCUAGGUGUGGAAGCACAGCGAUGUGCGGAGCUAACUAGUACUAAUAGGCCGUGCGACUUGACCUA
rnacentral:rRNA from 1 species